AUUGAACGCUGGCGGCAGGCCUAACACAUGCAAGUCGAGCGGUAGCACAGGGAGCUUGCUCCUGGGUGACGAGCGGCGGACGGGUGAGUAAUGUCUGGGAAACUGCCUGAUGGAGGGGGAUAACUACUGGAAACGGUAGCUAAUACCGCAUAACGUCGCAAGACCAAAGAGGGGGACCUUCGGGCCUCUUGCCAUCAGAUGUGCCCAGAUGGGAUUAGCUAGUAGGUGGGGUAACGGCUCACCUAGGCGACGAUCCCUAGCUGGACUGAGAGGAUGACCAGCCACACUGGAACUGAGACACGGGCCAGACUCCUACGGGAGGCAGCAGUGGGGAAUAUUGCACAAUGGGCGCAAGCCUGAUGCAGCCAUGCCGCGUGUAUGAAGAAGGCCUUCGGGUUGUAAAGUACUUUCAGCGGGGAGGAAGGCGAUAAGGUUAAUAACCUUGUCGAUUGACGUUACCCGCAGAAGAAGCACCGGCUAACUCCGUGCCAGCCGCCGCCGUAACAC
rnacentral:rRNA from 1 species